rnacentral:rRNA from 1 species
GAUGAACGCUAGCUACAGGCUUAACACAUGCAAGUCGAGGGGCAGCAUGUUGGUUGCUUGCAACCGAUGAUGGCGACCGGCGCACGGGUGAGUAACGCGUAUCCAACUUGGCUUAUACUUAGGGAUAACCCGUUGAAAGACGGCCUAAUACCUAAUGGUUUAUAAUGGUUGCAUGACUGUUAUAAUAAAGAUUUAUCGGUAUAAGAUAGGGAUGCGUCUGAUUAGUUAGUUGGUGAGGUAACGGCUCACCAAGGCAUCGAUCAGUAGGGGUUCUGAGAGGAAGGUCCCCCACAUUGGAACUGAGACACGGUCCAAACUCCUACGGGAGGCAGCAGUGAGGAAUAUUGGUCAAUGGACGUAAGUCUGAACCAGCCAAGUAGCGUGCAGGAUGACGGCCCUAUGGGUUGUAAACUGCUUUUAUGUGAGAAUAAAGUUAACUACGUGUAGUUAUUUGCAUGUAUCACAUGAAUAAGGACCGGCUAAUUCCGUGCCAGCAGCCGCGGUAAUACGGAAGGUCCAGGCGUUAUCCGGAUUUAUUGGGUUUAAAGGGAGCGUAGGCCGUUUGGUAAGCGUGCUGUGAAAUUUAGAGGCUCAACCUCUACCGUGCAGCGCGAACUGUCAGACUCGAGUGCGUAGUAGGUAGGCGGAAUUCGUGGUGUAGCGGUGAAAUGCUUAGAUAUCACGAAGAACUCCGAUUGCGAAGGCAGCUUACCGUAUCGCAACUGACGCUGAUGCUCGAAGGUGCGGGUAUCGAACAGGAUUAGAUACCCUGGUAGUCCGCACAGUAAACGAUGGAUGCUCGCUGUUGGCUUUUAUAGUCAGUGGCUUAGCGAAAGCGUUAAGCAUCCCACCUGGGGAGUACGCCGGCAACGGUGAAACUCAAAGGAAUUGACGGGGGCCCGCACAAGCGGAGGAACAUGUGGUUUAAUUCGAUGAUACGCGAGGAACCUUACCCGGGCUUGAACUGCAGGAGAACGAUUCAGAGAUGAUGAGGUCCUUCGGGACUCCUGUGGAGGUGCUGCAUGGUUGUCGUCAGCUCGUGCCGUGAGGUGUCGGCUUAAGUGCCAUAACGAGCGCAACCCCUUUUCUUAGUUGCCAUCGGGUAAUGCCGGGCACUCUGAGGAUACUGCCACCGUAAGGUGUGAGGAAGGUGGGGAUGACGUCAAAUCAGCACGGCCCUUACGUCCGGGGCUACACACGUGUUACAAUGGGGCAUACAGAGUGUUGGUUGCAUGUAAAUGUAAUCUAAUCUUCAAAGUGCUUCUCAGUUCGGACUGGGGUCUGCAACCCGACCCCACGAAGCUGGAUUCGCUAGUAAUCGCGCAUCAGCCAUGGCGCGGUGAAUACGUUCCCGGGCCU